AUGACCUCAGAACAACCACUCAGAGCAUGCUUUUCCUUGUUGCUUUUGAUGGAAGGAACAGUGCCAGGCCACCCAUUGAAGUUACCACGUGUCAUGGCUGUGAGUGCCUUCACUACUUGGAGUAGGCUCAUUAGCAGACAACCCUCCCAGAGCCCUACGUGCAACCGGCAUCUAUAUGGUCUGUUCGGAGAUGAGUCUCGCUAUGUUGGCCCCAGGCUGGUCUUGAACUCCUGGAUUCAAGUGAUCAUCUUGCCUCAUCGGCCUCCCAAACUGCUGGGACUACAGACAAGGGAGUGGAGGUCCAGAAGAUAUUUUUUCCAAGGCCACAAUUUCCUGGUCAUCUCUGAGACGUCGUUUGGGAGUGCCCUCAUCCUGGAAGUCGUUCUGCAUCCCGUCUUGCCUCUUACAGCCUCCACUCCCAGCUCCUACGGCCCCCGGGUAACCCCUAUUGGCACUCAUUGCCCGCCACUGCCAUUCUGCCCACACAUCUGUCUGAACACAGCCUUUCUCCAGCAGGGAUCACAUCUGCAACCUUGGUAG
rnacentral:lncRNA from 1 species